UACGAAGGGGGCUAGCGUUGCUCGGAAUCACUGGGCGUAAAGCGCACGUAGGCGGCUUUCUAAGUCAGGGGUGAAAUCCUGGAGCUCAACUCCAGAACUGCCUUUGAUACUGGAGAGCUUGAGUCCGGGAGAGGUGAGUGGAACUCCGAGUGUAGAGGUGAAAUUCGUAGAUAUUCGGAAGAACACCAGUGGCGAGGGCGGCUCACGUGGCCCGGUACUCGGACGCUGAUGUGC
rnacentral:rRNA from 1 species